rnacentral:rRNA from 1 species
CACGUAGGCGGCUUGGUAAGUCAGGGGUGAAAUCCCACAGCCCAACUGUGGAACUGCCUUUGAUACUGUCAGACUUGAGUACCGGAGAGGGUGGCGGAAUUCCAGGUGUAGGAGUGAAAUCCGUAGAUAUCGGGAGGAACACCAGUGGCGAAGGCGGCCUACUGGGCACCAACUGACGCUGAGGCUCGAAAGUGUGGAUAGCAAACA